rnacentral:rRNA from 1 species
AACGAACGCUGGCGGCAUGCCUAACACAUGCAAGUCGAACGAAGCCUUCGGGCUUAGUGGCGCACGGGUGCGUAACACGUGGGAAUCUGCCCUUCGGUUCGGAAUAACAGUUAGAAAUGACUGCUAAUACCGGAUGAUGACGUAAGUCCAAAGAUUUAUCGCCGAAGGAUGAGCCCGCGUAGGAUUAGGUAGUUGGUAGGGUAAUGGCCUACCAAGCCGACGAUCCUUAGCUGGUCUGAGAGGAUGAUCAGCCACACUGGGACUGAGACACGGCCCAGACUCCUACGGGAGGCAGCAGUGGGGAAUAUUGGACAAUGGGCGAAAGCCUGAUCCAGCAAUGCCGCGUGAGUGAUGAAGGCCUUAGGGUUGUAAAGCUCUUUUACCAGGGAUGAUAAUGACAGUACCUGGAGAAUAAGCUCCGGCUAACUCCGUGCCAGCAGCCGCGGUAAGGCUACGUAGA